rnacentral:rRNA from 1 species
AGUGAACGCUGGCGGUAGGCCUAACACAUGCAAGUCGAACGGCAGCACAGUAAGAGCUUGCUCUUACGGGUGGCGAGUGGCGGACGGGUGAGGAAUACAUCGGAAUCUACUUUUUCGUGGGGGAUAACGUAGGGAAACUUACGCUAAUACCGCAUACGACCUACGGGUGAAAGCAGGGGAUCUUCGGACCUUGCGCGAUUGAAUGAGCCGAUGUCGGAUUAGCUAGUUGGCGGGGUAAAGGCCCACCAAGGCGACGAUCCGUAGCUGGUCUGAGAGGAUGACCAGCCACACUGGAACUGGACCCCGCGCCAGACUCCUACGGGGGCACGCAGGGGGGAAUUUAGGCAAGGGGGGGAAACCCUGAUCCAACCAUACGGGGGGGGUGAAGAAGGCCUUGGGGUUGAAAAGCCCUUUGUUUGGGAAAAAAAAACAGCAGUUAACUCCCCCGUUUUUCGGGGGGGCCCCAAAAAAAAAGCCCCCGCAAUUUUCG